rnacentral:rRNA from 1 species
CGAGUGCCAUCCGCUGAGGAAGGCUUUUACCCAGUCUAGAACGCUGGGGGAAUAAGGAGAGGGCAAGUCUGGUGUCAGCCGCCGCGGUAAUACCAGCUCUUCGAGUGGUGUGGAUGUUUAUUGGGCCUAAAGCAUCCGUAGCUGGCUAAGUUAGUCCCUUGUUAAAUCCACCGAAUUAAUCGUUGGAUCGCGGGGGAUACUGCUUGGCUAGGGGACGAGAGAGGCAGACGGUAUUUUCGGGGUAGGGG